ACGAAACUAAAAAUAUGGAAGUGGUUAUUAAAUAAUACAGCUUACAAGUAAGCUCAGAUCAGUUCUUGAUGGACAAGAAAAUGAUAAAUAUAGAAUAAAUAUUGAGACAUCAACAAUCUUAGCUCAGCCCUCUUGAUCUUUUCCAGCAUUUCACUGGUGUGUAGGUACAGUACAUAACACAAAAUCAAACCUCAAAAUUGUCUAUGUCUACGACUAUACUAUGUAGAGUUCAAGGAAUCAACAUUAAUAUCGGUGUGCCAGUAGGUAGAGCAUACCAGAAUAUUGAUCAUUGGAAGUAUUAGAAAGAUAAAACAACCUGGUUGCUUUAGCUACAAACUACCUCUUGCUGUUGGUAGCAGCUUUAGGCUUGUUUAGAUUGGCAAGUUCUUCUAUGAGCUUUCUUUCUUCACUACUCAACCGUUUUGGAAUCUCAACUUGCACUCUCACCAAUUGAUCCCCUCUCAUGUUUGGUUUGCUCAGGAAUGGCACCCCUUUUUUGGCCAUCACCAAUGUUGUCCCUGGCUGGGUACCUGCCGGAAUCUUUAGAUCAACCAUCCCAUCUACUGUAGGAACCUUCAUAGUGGUACCCAAUAUCGCAUCAAUGUAAGAAACUUUGCAAUUGUAGAGAAUAUUGGUGUCAUCCCGUUUUAAUACUGGAUCCGGGAGGACUUCAAUCAUGACAAAAAGAUCUCCGGGGGGUCCACCUCUCCUUCCUGCAUUACCUUCUGAACGAACCCUUAAACGGCUACCGGAAUCUACACCAGGUGGAACUUUCAAGCUAAUGCGUUUUGACUUCCUCACUCGGCCAUCACCGUUGCAGGUGCCGCAAGGAGUAGAAAUCUCUCCAGUCCCCCCACAAGAAGAGCAUGUUGUCACCUGCUGGAAAACACCCAGUGGGGUCCUUGCUGAGGACACAACCUGCCCUUGCCCACCACAAGUAUUACAGGUCGACGGUUUAGUCCCAGGUUUUGCACCUGAUCCAUCACAGGUACCACAAGUUUCAAGCCUGCUAAUUUCAAUCUCCUUCUCAACCCCAAAUACAGCUUCUUUGAAAUUCAAAACCAGAUUAUAGCCCUGGUCUUCACCUUCUGUGGCCCUGCUCCGAGAACCUCUACCUCCCAUACCACCCAUGCCACCCAUACCACCAAAGCCGUCGAACAAAGACUCGAAUAAAUCAAAGGCGUUGCUAAAAUCCCCCAUGCCCGCACCAGCUCCUUUAAGACCAGCCUCCCCAUAUUUAUCAUAUAUGGAACGUUUCUCAUCAUCAGACAAAACCUCAUACGCAUUGCUGAUCUCCUUAAAUUUCUGUUCAGCUCCAGGUUCUUUGUUCACAUCUGGAUGGUAACUCCUAGCAAGUUUUCGGUAAGCACUUUUGAUUUCAGAUUUACUUGCAUUUUUUGACACUCCAAGUACAGAAUAGUA
rnacentral:misc_RNA from 1 species